rnacentral:rRNA from 1 species
UACAGAGGGGGCAAGCGUUGUUCGGAAUUACUGGGCGUAAAGGGCGCGUAGGCGGCCUGUUAAGUCGGACGUGAAAUCCCCGGGCUCAACCUGGGAACUGCGUCCGAAACUGGCAGGCUUGAAUCCGGGAGAGGGAUGUGGAAUUCCAGGUGUAGCGGUGAAAUGCGUAGAUAUCUGGAGGAACACCUGUGGCGAAGGCGGGUCCCUGGGCUGACACUGACGCUGAUGCGCGAAAGCGUGGGGAGCGAACAGG